rnacentral:lncRNA from 1 species
AGGAGGCAGAGGCAGGUGGAUCUCUAUAAGUUUGAGGCCAGCCAGGUCUACAGAGUGGAAGCUCAAAGCUCCGAUGAGUGGUGACCACCCUGCAGGACCUCGUUUACACAUGAGAUCUAAAAUAGCAUGGCCAUCCACACCAACUUACAGUCUGCUAACAAGCCCAGGGAAACCUACCUUAAAUCCAGAUCACUUGAUGUGGGAAGACCCAUCCUAAAUAUGAGCCAUACCUUCUGGUAGAAGCCUGCAUGAAGGAGAUGGAAGAAGGAAGCACUUGUUCUUUGCUUGAUUGCCCUCACUCUCAAUGGCUCCAAUCCAUAUCAUGCAUCAAACUUACCUUAGGCUGGAAAAGUCCACAGACUUUCUUGUCUCAGAGGACAGAUUUCAGGGGGAAAGCAGCAGCCAGCCAGGAGGGAAAUGCUGCAGAAGUGAGCACAGAGUGGAGUCUGCUCCAGGUGUUCUUGCCCUACAUGGCUGCAGAAACCCAACUGAACUCUAUUCUGCCCUCUUGUGGACGAGUAAGAAGUUUUAGCUCUGACAACCACUAUUUAAACGUCAUUUUUAUUAGUUCUUUGAGAAAUCUGUACCUGCUUUUACCAUUGUAACCCUGCUCCCCCAACUCCUCCCAGAUCCACCCAACUUUUUUCUAGAAAAGAACAACAACAAAAAACCUUCAGGAUCAAUUUCUGCUGCCCAAAUAGUCUUGUAUAUAUGGUCUUCCUCUGGAGUAUGGUUGACUUCCGCAAGGUAUCAACUGACAAUAGCUUCUUGGCUAAGCUUCUCCAUGCUGGAAUUUGGUUGGGCUUGGCUUGUACAGGCCUUGCACACGCUGUCACCACUGCUUUGAGUUCAUAUGUACAGCUGCCUUGUUGUGUUAGAAAACACAGUUUCUUAUAGUCACACCACUGUGUGGUGGUUUGAAUAACAAUGGC